CUUUCACAACUAUUUUUGCUUGGAGUGUAUGAUGGUUACAAAAGCCGUUGUCCGUAUUUCUUAGACAAUGUUCAUGGUAUUGAACCAUCAGAAGUUCACUUCCACAUCCAGUCAUAUCGACCAAACCCAGAUAUCAAAUCAAGAAAAGGAAAUUGAUGCUUGGUUAAUGAACACAUAGCUCAAAGACCAGCUGCUCAGUGACUUCUACUCCUGCUUGGCAGUGAUUGUCUGCAUGACCAUUUGUACGCAUCUCACCUUCUUCUCCUCCAUGAUCUAGUUCAAGAUCUAUGUGAUUUUCGCAUGUGCUUACUUGACCUCUGCUAGUCUUCGUUCUGUUCCACUCGUGGAGACUGUUAAAAAAAGCUUUCAGAUUAGUAACACAUAUUUGACUUCUACAUAACUCACCGAGCCACUACAGUUUUGCCAAAUUUGCUAAUGCGUCCAAGAUAUAUCAAAAUUAAAGAAGUUGCAUACUGUAUUUUACUUGGUUGCACAGGAAAUAAAUUAAAUUUUAACUGCCAAUCAAGUUUGAGGGCCCUAAAGAACUCCCGUGACAAAAUAGCACAAUGGAAGAAAAGUAAUGCCAAUGUCUCACGGGUGUUGUUACUUUAUAUUAUACUAAAGUAUCAUAAGACAACAAAAUAAUAUAGAUUAUUAGACUAUAGACCAUCUUCGAUAUUUUUCUGCACAUGCUUUUCAAUGAAUAUGCAUACUCAAUAAUAUGCACAGGAGACUAGUUUUGAGGUUAAUCACAAGAUUAUUGUCUUAUAUGAUGCUAGGGACCCAUGUUUUCAUGUUAAUAUCAUAAUUUUGUAAAUCUUAUCUCACCAGUAACGUAUCUAUUUUCUCUAUAUAAACCCUACGAAAGCAGGUAUACCAGCCUAAGAAAACCAUCAAAUAGUUGCAAAACAAUUGGUGAAGAACUCUUUAAAAGUACAAAAAGCCAUGGAACCAAACACUAAGCUUGUCUUUAUUACCUUGGUUCUUGCCUUGACACUCACGGCAGCGACUGGAGAGUUCUGCGGUAAGAGCGUUGCUGAUCUGUACUCUUGCAAGCCCUAUGUGCAGACCAAGAACCCAUUGACCACCCGCAUUGAUCCCAAGGGCUCUUGCUGCAGUGCCCUAGCUAACGCUGACGUCCAGUGUCUCUGCAAGCAGAAAACCAAAACAAAUCCCUUUCUUAGUGGGAUCAACUUAGACCUUGCUUCUAAACUCCCGGAUAAGUGUGGUUUAUCUAAGGCAACUUGCUAAGACAGGCACGAUGAGAGAAUGAAUAAAAACCAGAGAUUCCAUAGAAGCCGUGACCAAGAAUCUCCUUCACUGGUUCCAUUGAAGCUUGUAAAGAACAUGCACCAAGGAUGCUAACCAUGACCAAAGAAUCAGGAAUUUUGGUCUCCUUGGCUAUAAACUCACGUGCAAGUUCAAUAAAACACUAAAGCCUAUUGAAAUAUCAAUUAAUCUUACAAAUCCAUCAGUAACUGUGCUUUAAAAAAACGUUUGUGUAUAUUCUCAUAUUACUUGUUCAAGUGAAACAUAUUCUGGUAAGCAGUCUACAAUAGUCCUGAAACCUAUCGGUAACAGUUUGUAGACAAUAUGGAUCAUCAAAUUAUAAAUGAUAUGUAGCCACUUAGAUUACAGUUGUUCACAAUGAUGAGCAUCGAGCAAACAUGCAUACACAUGAUUACCUGAUUGGGGUCAUGUCGAAUCUCGCCAGAAAAGGUAUAUAUAAUAACCUUAAACGUGUUUUUCUACACAUAUAUUAAACAAAACCACAACUAACUUUAACCAGUCCACGAAUCUAGCCAUAUCUAGUUUAGUAACUUUCCACGUACAUCACAUUGCAAAUGCCUGCUUAUGUAAUGAUAAUGUUGAUUUGGACAAAAGGAACUUCGCGUAUAUAACUUUUAAAGAAAAAUAGUUUCUCGUUGCAUUUAUCUUCAUUAUUUAUAAUUUAUAUGUAAAAUCAGUAUCGAUUUUCUUUUAAACAAGAGAAGUGUUUAGGCUGAAGCUCGACUAGUCAUGCAAAUAUGGUUAUUUUAUGUAGGAGUUAGAGAUCUACGUCAACUAACCAUCACUAGAAGAAAUGUGGUUAGUAAUAGCGGACGAAAAGCGCUAUCAUUUUGGUUUAAUAGCGUUUCCUUGGACGCUCAGACAUCACCCGUUAUAAAAAGUCUAACCCUUUUAAUAGCGAUUUUCCUUUGUGCUAUUACUAAGUGUAUAACAAUAGCGCUUUUGUGUUCACAAUUGUUAGUAUUUAUAAUAACGUUUAAUAAAUGUUAUUAGAACCAAAUAAUUUGAUUUUUUCUAGUAGCAAAGAUAGCAAAUGUUUCGUGUUAUUAAUUAGUUUUAUAAUUAUCCCAAAAUUAAUUAAUAAUAAUUAUUGAAUUGAUUUUUAAAUAAUUAAUUUGAAAAUAUGAAAUAAAAACAAUAUAAAUUAUUAAAAUUCCAAAAAUCAAUAUAAUUAUUCAAAUCCCAUAACACAACAUUAUCACAUUCAUACAAACCAUCACACAAGCAUACAACAUAUCAUCAAUCUACCACUAAUAAACCUUCACAAUCAUCCCUAACAUAUACACUAUCAUCAUCCAUAUCAUCACCCAUAUCAUCAACUUCUUGGACAGGUAAAGGAGCACCACCUAAAUCCUCUUUUGUUUCCAACUCAUGAUAACCAGAUUUCGAUCUCUACCUGUCGACAAAAAAAAAAAACUAAGCCUCUGCCUACAACCCUAAUUCCUCCGCCUCUAGCCUCCAGC